rnacentral:misc_RNA from 1 species
AUUAUAUGUAAUUAUUAUGAUUAUAUUUAAUUAGUCACAUAAUUGUGAUAAUUAAUUUUAAAUUAAUUUGAUCAAUUUAAUGACAUCCAAAUUUGAUUUAGUUUCGCUUAAGUUUAAUUAAACGAAACUGUUAAUUCAGGGUUAAAAUCCUGAAUCAAAAUUAAUGUUUAAAUUUUAAUUAACCAAAAACUAUAUUCGAUCUAUUAAUUAAUUUUUAAUUAACUUAA